AAACUCGCACACCGUAAGCCUAAGGUUUCCUGAGUAAAGAUAAUCUGCUCAGGGUUAGUCUGCCCCUAAGGCGAGUCAAGCGAGCUUGAGUAGCUGAUGGGCAUCAGGUUAAUAUUCCUGAACCUGUAAUAGAUGAGCGAUGGAGUGACGCGAUAUUGCGUUGGAGACGGGUGUUGGACGUCCCGUUGAACCCAUGUAGGUAAGACUAUAGGUAAAUCCGUAGUUUUAAUAACCGAGGUGGGGGACGAGAGCUUUAAGCUCUAAAGUCCACUUAGAUAUAUUGCCAAGAAAUAGCUUCUAAGUGUUUGAGUUUAUUACAGACAGUACCGCAAACCGACUCAGGUAGGCGAGGAGAGUAUCCUAAGGUGUUCGAGAGAAUUCUGGUUAAGGAACUCGGCAAAAUAGCCCCGUAACUUCGGGAGAAGGGGUGUCCGUUUUAGUGAAGGAGUUUACCUCUGGAGCUUUGAUGGAUUGCAGUGAAGAGGUCCAAGCGACUGUUUAUCAAAAACACAGGUCUAUGCAAAGACGUAAGUCAAGGUAUAUAGACUGACACCUGCCCGGUGCUGGAAGGUUAAAUGGAAGAGUUAGCUUCGGCAAAGCUCUGAAAUGAAGCCCCAGUAAACGGCGGCCGUAACUAUAACGGUCCUAAGGUAGCGAAAUUCCUUGUCGGGUAAGUUCCGACCUGCACGAAUGGUGUAACGACUUGGACGCUGUCUCAACCAGGAGCUCGGUGAAAUUGUAGUGGCGGUGAAGAUGCCGCCCACCCGCGAACGGACGGAAAGACCCCGUGAACCUUUACUGCAUCUUGAUAUUGUGAUUUGAUAAGAUAUGUGUAGGAUAGGUGGGAGGCUUUGAAGCUGGUACGCUAGUAUCGGUGGAGCCAUUGUUGAAAUACCACCCUUAUUUUCUUGGAUUACUAACGUGUAAAGUUGAACCUUUAUGCGGACAUUGUCAGGAGGGCAGUUUGACUGGGGCGGUCGCCUCCUAAAUAGUAACGGAGGCUUACAAAGGUUCCCUCAGGCUGGUUGGUAAUCAGCCGUAGAGCGUAAAGGUAUAAGGGAGCUUAACUGCGAGACUGACGGGUCGAGCAGAUGCGAAAGCAGGUCUUAGUGAUCCGGUGGCUCUGUAUGGAAGGGCCAUUGCUCAAAGGAUAAAAGGUACUCCGGGGAUAACAGGCUGAUACCACCCAAGAGUUCAUAUCGACGGUGGUGUUUGGCACCUCGAUGUCGGCUCAACUCAUCCUGGGGCUGAAGAAGGUCCCAAGGGUUUGGCUGUUCGCCAAUUAAAGAGUUACGCGAGCUGGGUUCAGAACGUCGUGAGACAGUUCGGUCCCUAUCCUUCGUGGGCGUAGGAAAUUUGAGGGGAGCUACAUUUAGUACGAGAGGACCGGUGUGGACGAACCACUGGUGUAUCGGUUGUACCGCCAGGUGCAUUGCCGAGUAGCUAAGUUCGGAAUGGAUAACCGCUGAAAGCAUCUAAGCGGGAAGCCAACCCCAAGAUAGAUUUCCCAUGAGAUACGUUGGAGACUACAACGUUGAUAGGUCACAGGUGUAAGCACAGCAAUGUGUUCAGCCGAGUGAUACUAAUAUAUCGAUUGCCUUACUUAU
rnacentral:rRNA from 1 species